UGAAAACGAUUAUACAGUCAUGUACGGAAAUGGUUAUGCCGAUGACUUGCUCUAAGGAUAGCAUGUUUCCCCUCGGCCACACUGGAUUACGACUGAAUUCGGUGGUGAAAUAAUUCAGAAUCUGUUGAAGAAAUUUGGUAGCAAUAUCAUAUUCUCCAAUGGAAUGCAGGAUCCAUGGAGCCGAGGAGGCGUGCUGAAGAAUAUAUCUUCCAGAAUCAAUGCACUUGUCAAAAGAAAAGGGAGCUCUUCAUGUUGAUUUCCGGUCGUCGACGAGAGACGAUCCCGACUGGCUUAUUGAACUGAGGAAACAAGAAGUCGGGAUCAUCCGAGAGUGGUUAAAUGAAUACUGUGCAGAUCUCAGACAUGAAUAAGUUGAGAC